GACAGAGGGUGCAAACGUUGUUCGGAAUUACUGGGCAUAAAGCGCACGUAGGUGGUCCACUAAGUCGAGUGUGAAAUCCCCCGGCUCAACCGGGGAAUUGCGCUCGAUACUGGCGGGCUAGAGGUCGAUAGGGGUGAGCGGAACUCCAGGUGGAGCGGUGAAAUGCGUAGAUAUCUGGAGGAACACCGGUGGCGAAAGCGGCCACCUGGACUGCACCUGACGCUGACACGCGAAAGCUAGGGGAGCGAACGGG
rnacentral:rRNA from 1 species